ACUACUUUGAUUAUUUUUGGUGCCCUUCACUGGGCUCUUUCCAGUAUGUCCAGGUCUUGCUGGGGUACUAGGGUGGCACUCUAGGUGUAGCCUCACCAGUGUGGAGGGAAGGAUCACCUCCCUCAACCUGCUCGCACCACUCCUCCUAAUGUAACCCAGGAUACCUUAGCCUUCUUUAUGACAAAGGCACAUUGCUGGCUUACGGUCAACUUGGUAUCCACCAGGAUCCCCAAGGCCUUUUCUGCAGAGCUGCUUUCCCGCUGGGCAGCUCUCAGCAUAUAUUGGUGCACAGGCUUGUUCCUCCCCAGCUGCAGGACUCCUGCUGAUCUACAUCAAUGUCCUGACAGCCCUUUUCUCCGGCCUGUCAGGUCCUGCUGGAUGGCAGCAAAACCCUCAGGCAUAUCAGCUGUUCCUCCCUGUCUUUUAUCACCUGCAAACUUGCAGAUGGUACACUCUGCCCCAUCAUCCAGGUCAUUAAUGAAGACAUUAAUUGCUGACCCCUGGGGUACACUGCUAGUUACUGCUCUCCAACUAGACUAUGCCUCCGAUCACCGCCAUCUGUGUCCAGCCAUUCAGCCAGUUCUCAGUCCACCUUACUGUCUGCUCAUGCAGCCCACACUUCAACAGCUUCUCUUUGAAGAUGUUACAGGAGAGAAGGUUGAAAGCCUUACUACAGUCAAAGGAAACAAUAUUCACUGCUCUGCCCUCAUCAACCAUCAAGCCAAUCACUUCAUUAUAAAAGGUUAGUAAAGCAAGUCUUCCCCUUUGUGAAUCCAUGCUGAGAACUCCUGAUGACUUUCUUGUCAUUCGUAUGCCUGGAAAUGGUUCCCAAGAUUAGUUGCUCCAUCUCCUCCCCAGGGACUGAGGUGAGGCUGUCUGACUGGCAGUUCCCUGGCUCCUCCUUCUUGCUCUUCAUGAAGAUAGGAGGGAUGUUUGCCUUCCUCUAGUCCUCUGGCACCUCUCCCAGUCAUUAUGAUGCUUUGAAACUAAUUGAUGUCACAAUGACAUCAGCCUGCGUGGUCAGCAACCAAGUCCCAGCAGGGCCCACAGCCUGACUGUAUGUCACUUUGCUUAAGCAGCCUAACCUGAUCCUCUUCCACCAAAGAGUCUGAAUGAGAUUGAAAGCAGAGAAUAUGAAAUAAAGGAGAGUUCCUCAAAGUGUUCCCCAGAGUUUCUUAUUUGGAAAAGAUGGAUCAAGGAACUCUGGACUGUAGAAAGUAUUGCUUCUAGGAAAUAGAGGUAGAGGAGCUCAUCUACAAAGGGAUGUGUCGGACCAAAGAUGGAAGCAUCAUUCUGCACGUAAAAAGAGUGAAACAUAACCUGUGCUAUAAAUUGGUAGGAAGCAAAGAACGUCUUUCUCCCAAGGAUCUAUUUUUUUUGGUUGGCUGGUUUUGCUUUUUGUUUUUCCCUUUCUCUGGGUGCUUCUAAAUGAAGCUGGUAAAAAAUCUGACUGCUAACAUGUCAUGAAUCUAUACAGUCCUGGUAAAUUGUUAAUUAAAUUAUAAG